AAUGACAUUUACUGCUCAUAAGUCUUGACCAAAUCACGUGCCAGCAGUCGCGGCAAAACGUGGGAGACUAGUGUUAUUCAUCUUAAAUAGGUUUAAAGGGUACCUAGACGGAAUAUCAAGCCCCAAAAGGGAACGGAGAUUCUAGAGUUUUAUGAGAGAGGGGAAGUACUGACGGAGUAGAGAUGAAAUUUGUUGAUACCGAUAUAAGACACAGGUAUAGGCGAAGGCAACCCUUUAUGUAAAAACUGACGUUGAAGGACGAAGGCUUAGGUAACCAACAGGAUUAGAUACCCUAGCAGUCUUGGCAGACAAUGAUGAAUGUCAUAGAUUAGAUUUUUUUUUGAUCUAUAAAUGAAAGUGUAAGCAUUCCACCUCAAGAGUAAUUUGGCAACAUUGAAACUGAAAUCAUUAGACCGUUUCUGAAACCAGUAGUGAAGUAUGUUGUUUAAACUGACGUUACGCGAAAAACCUUGCCACAACUUGAAUGUUUACAAUUACACAAGCGUUGCAUGGCUGUCUACAGUUAAUGUCGUGAGAUUAUGGUUAGUUCCAUUAAUUAACGUA
rnacentral:rRNA from 1 species